CCUACGGGAUGCAGCAGUGGGGAAUUUUGGACAAUGGGCGCAAGCCUGAUCCAGCUAUUCCGCGUGUGGGAUGACGGCCUUCGGGUUGUAAACCACUUUUGUAGCGAACGAAAAGUCUGUUGAUAAUACCGAUAGAUGAUGACGGUACUCUAAAAAUAAGCACCGGCUAACUACGUGCCAGCAGCCGCGGUAAUACGUAGGGUGCGUGCGUUAAUCGGAAUUGAUGGGCGUAAAGGGUGUGCAGGCGGUUUUGCAAGAUUGAUGUGAAAGCCUCGGGCUUAACCUGGGAAAGGCAAACAUGACUGCAAGACUAGAGUGCGUCAGAGGGGGGUGGAAUUCCAAGUGUAGCAGUGAAAUGCGUAGAUAUUUGGAAGAACACCGAUGGCGAAGGCAGCCCCCUGGGACGCAACUGACGCUCAUACACGAAAGCGUGGGGAGCAAACAGGAUUAGAUACCCUUGUAGUC
rnacentral:rRNA from 1 species